CGCGGCGGCCCUUUCCUGCGCGCGGGUCUGCAUCCGGGUCUUUGGGCUGGGUGCACCCCGCGUCGGCUGGGGGCGUUCGCAGGUUGCCAGGUGUCCGUCGGCAGUUCCAGCUGUUCCGGCAUCCCGAGAGUCUGUGUGUCCGCAGGUUUGAAAACCAUAGGUUACCGUAAUGAGACUUGUCAUUCUGGAUAACUAUGACUUGGCCAGUGAAUGGGCAGCCAAAUACAUCUGUAAUCGUAUCAUUCAAUUCAAACCUGGACAGGACAGAUAUUUCACACUGGGUUUACCAACAGGGAGUACACCUCUAGGAUGUUACAAAAAACUAAUAGAAUAUCACAAGAAUGGAGACCUUUCUUUUAAAUAUGUGAAGACUUUUAAUAUGGAUGAAUAUGUGGGACUUCCAAGAAAUCAUCCUGAAAGCUAUCACUCUUAUAUGUGGAAUAAUUUUUUUAAGCACAUUGAUAUAGAUCCUAACAAUGCUCAUAUCCUUGAUGGGAAUGCUGCAGAUUUACAAGCAGAAUGUGAUGCAUUUGAAAAGAAAAUAAAAGAUGCAGGAGGAAUAGAUCUUUUUGUUGGAGGAAUAGGUCCAGAUGGUCAUAUUGCUUUCAAUGAGCCGGGUUCCAGUUUAGUAUCAAGGACAAGAUUAAAGACACUAGCAAUGGACACCAUUUUGGCAAAUGCUAAAUAUUUUGAUGGAGAUUUAUCAAAAGUACCAACUAUGGCUCUAACUGUUGGUGUGGGGACAGUGAUGGAUGCUCGAGAGGUAAUGAUCCUUAUAACAGGUGCACACAAGGCAUUUGCCCUGUACAAAGCCAUAGAAGAAGGAGUCAGCCACAUGUGGACAGUUUCAGCUUUUCAGCAGCAUCCUCGAACUAUUUUUGUGUGUGAUGAAGAUGCUACUUUAGAAUUAAGGGUUAAAACUGUGAAAUACUUUAAAGGACUGAAGCUGUACCAAUGUUAUAGCAAUUUUUAAGCCCAUCAAUGGAGUAUAGUAGAGGAAUUGCCAGAUCAAAAUCAAUGUAAACUUUUAGGUGUAAUGUAUUUAUUAACCAAGUCGUACCCAAUUUUGCUAUCCUAACAGAUUAAAGACAAGAACUUAAUCUAGCUUUCGUUAUUUCUAAAAUACCUGUGUACAUUCUAGAGCUAUACUAUUUAUUUAUUUAGAAGUAACCAUUCAGAGCAUUUCUAUUUGUAUUUUUUUCAAUAAACUUGACUUGUUUUGUAACAGAUGGACCAAAUAUACCUAAAAAAAUCUGUUUUUUUUUCUGAAGGAAAUGAGAUAGGUCAAAAUUAACACAACUGGAACUGUGGCUUUUUUUCUUUAAGGUUUAAUGCAUGUGCACAAUAAACUUGUGGAUCCACUAUUCAGUAUGAAAGAAGGAAUUUGAAGGAGACUGGAGCAAAAUUCUGCUUGAAAGAAAGAACACUUUUUUAUUACAGAAAUUUUCUGCUAUGCAAUAUAAUUAUGGGAAAUUUUGAAGAUUGCCAUUUAAAAAUACAUGUUAAACAUUCCAUCUUUAGAUUUAGAAGCAGUUUGUGCUUAAUUUGGUUGGCUGUUUCUUAGAAAGUACAGAAGCUCUAUGGCCUCCUGAAAAAAUAGCAUAGAAAUGAAUGUCUGCCUAUUUAAAGCUUGUUUUAGAAAGAUUCUGCACAUCAAGUGUGUCAUAGAUGUCUAUUUUUUAAUUUUGAAAUGACAUUCCACAUCUUUCAGAUGUCAAAUCCCUAUUAUUACAGACCUUUGCUUUUGGAAGAAGCCUGUAUUUUCUGUGAGUCACACGUUUCUGCACGUGAUUGCCUUAGUCAUCUUUCUGUAGUAGUAACCUGGACAUCAGAAGUCCUGUUAUACAUUGCUGGUUAAGGAAAUCUGAAGAGAUAACAGUGCCUAAAAGUAAAGUUUACAUCUUUUUGGAAAGUGUGUGUAAAUGUGUUUUUGUGUACCUUCUAUUGCACUUUUUUACAAAUACGCUUAUUUUUAUUUAAUGGUCUCAUAUCCUUAAUAUGAGUAUCUUGGCAGUUAUGAGCUUUAUACCUAGUUAGUUUCAAACUGAAGAUUAUUCUUUUGAAAAGUAUUUUGAUUAUUGUUAAACUUCAUUAGCAGCUUUUGUUUCAUAUAUGUGAACUGUCUAAAGUGAUAAAAUGAAGUGUAUAUAAAAGGAAUCACUGUAUACUAUUUAAGAUUGUCCUAACAAUUUGCAUAAUUAAAUUGCAAAUAAAAUUAUAUCGUUUUCUAUCUUUAACUCAAAUAAAGCUUACAACAAUAAUAAAAGAUUAUUUAAAUUUUAUUUGCAGAAGUGAAAUAAAGAACACAUGCAUUUGGGAGAUUCCAACUAUUAAUAGUCCCUUUUCAGGUUCAUCUAUGCAGUAGCCUUCUGGAAAGCAAAACACAUUAAGAAUCUCAAUGCAUUGAAAAUAAAGCUGAGCCCUCCUAUAUGCACUAGCCGAGUUCUUCUUUCCAGUAGGUGCUUAGGCCAUUCUGUCAAGAGCUUUGGCCAAAUAUUAAAGAAUCAACUGUUGUGUUCUGCUUCAUCAUCCUGUCUGACCCCUUUCUAACCAGCAUUCUUGCCAAGCUAUUACCUGUAACUUUUCUCAUCACUAUGACAAAUACCUGGCAGAAACAAAGAGAGUGUGUUCAGCUCAUGGUUUUAGUACAUCAUGGUGUAGGAAGGGUGUGGUAGAACACAGAAUUUGGGGACCAGGAAGCAGAAAAAAUGCCCGUGUCCUUGUAAAUAACUAAAAUUGUUUACUAAAAACAACUCUUACAACCAUAAGUUAUAUAAUAAGUGUAAAAGCUAUAGGUGUCUUUUGGUAUGCUACUGUGUUGCUUCUGAGAUUUAAAGGUAUAAGAUCUCUUUCUCAUUAUAGCAAUGAUUAUGUUCAGGUCCUCCUCAAGUACUUCAGCAGAACUGUUCUCUGGCCAUUACAGCUCCCUAACUCAGAAGAAACAAUGCUUUAAGAAACUUAGAAGCCUAUGAAAGACAUUUCACAAGGAGCAGUAAAGUUGUUUACCUUUGAAGAACGAAACCAUUGUUCCAAGUUCUAUUUGUCAGUGAAAUCUAGACAAUAAAUGUCAGCUUCUUUCCA